rnacentral:rRNA from 1 species
GAUUAAGCAAAGAAGAGCGCAGGGUGGAUGCCUUGGCACUAAGAGCCGAAGAAAGACGUGAUAAGCUGCGAAAAGCUGCGGGGAGAUGCAAAUAAUCCUUGAUCCGCAGAUGUCUGAAUGGGGAAACCCGGUACGAAGAACUCGUAUCAUCCAUACGCCAAUCCAUAACGUAUGGAGGGGAACCCGGUGAACUGAAACAUCUAAGUAGCCGGAGGAAGAGAAAGAAACAUCGAUUUUGUUAGUAGCGGCGAGCGAAAGCGAAAGAGGCCAAACCGGAGUGCGUGCACUCCGGGGUUCGGACCGCAUUUAAGAUUCAGUGAUUCUAGCAGAAAGGUUUGGGAAAGCCUGCCGGAGAGGGUGAAAGCCCCGUAAGCGAAAGGAAAACUGACUGAGCGGGAUCCAGAGUACAUCGAGACACGAGAAACCUUGAUGGAAUGAGCGGGGACCACCCCGUAAGCCUAAAUACUACUUAGUGACCGAUAGCGCAUAGUACUGUGAAGGAAAGGUGAAAAGGACCCCGGGAGGGGAGUGAAAGAGAACCUGAAACCCUGUGUUUACAAGCUGUGGAAGUUCUUUAUACGAACAACCGCGUACUUUUUGUAGAACGGUCCGGCGAGUUGCGGAUACUGGCAAGGUUAAGCACUUAAGGUGCGGAGCCGAAGGGAUACCAAGUCUUAACAGGGCGUUAAGUCAGUAUACGCAGACCCGAAACCGGGUGAUCUAUCCAUGUCCAGGUUGAAGUUGUCGUAAAAGACAAUGGAGGACCGAAGCCACAUCCGUUGAAAAGGGUGGGCAUGAGGUGUGGAUAGGGGAGAAAUUCCAAUCGAACCCGGAGAUAGCUGGUUCUCCUCGAAAUAGCUUUAGGGCUAGCCUCGAUUUAGUCUUAUGGAGGUAGAGCACUGAAUUUCCGCGGGGGCGUCAAAGCUUACCAAAGAAUAUCAAACUCCGAAUGCCAUGUAGAUGAUGAUCGGGAGUCAGACUGCACGAGAUAAGUUGGGCAGUCAAAAGGGAAAGAGCCCAGACCACCGGCUAAGGUCCCAAAGUGCGUGUUAAGUGGAAAAGGAUGUGGGAAUUCGAAGACAACUAGGAUGUUGGCUCAGAAGCAGCCAUACAUUCAAAGAGUGCGUAACAGCUCACUAGUCGAGAGUUCCUGCGCCGAAAAUGUCCGGGGCUGAAACACGACACCGAAGCCGUGGACUCGCAAUGCGAGUGGUAGAGGAGCAUUCUUAAAACCGACGAAGCUGUACCGAAAGGAGCAGUGGAGGGAUAAGAAGAGAGAAUGCCGGAAUGAGUAGCGAGAGAAAGGUGGGAAUCCUUUCGGCCGAAUAUCUAAGGUUUCCAGAGUAAAGCUGAUCUGCUCUGGGUAAGUCGGGGCCUAAGCACAGGUCGCAAGACGUAAGCGAUGGAUAACAGGUUUAGAUUCCUGUACCACGCAUUAUCAGAACUGUAGGGACGCAUGUGGAAAGCACG